GAGAAUUACUUUAACAAUACAAAGUAAAUAUCAGAAAGGACAAAGCAAGAUAGGAGACUUACCCGAAAUUUGGCACAUCAAGCUGCCAGAUAUAUUUUCAAGAAUCAUAGAAUACACAAGUUUUCUAAGGGAGUAAAGCUCAAGGAACUUCACCCUUCUCUCUGUGGCAAGAAAUCACGAUUUUGCUUUACCUUCGGUCUAAUUUUCAGCAUGAAAAAUGCUUAUAUUAAUGGCAAUAUUAUCUCCCUCCCAUAAUUAUUACCAACUUUUCCUCUCAAGAAAAAACAAUCUCAAAAAUUUAUAAAUCAUAGGGCCUUCACUUCCUUGGUAGAUCUGAUCAAAAUCCUCUCAAACGGAUCCAAUCUUGCCUUCAAUUAUGUUAAACCCACAUUGCAAAAAUCUUCACAGAUCCAAGCCAAGAUACAGUUUGAUGAUUCUACAAUCCAAAUUUUAAGUUUCAACCAAAAGUCUCUGAAAAUUCAAUAUUAGUAAGUAUUUACAAGCAUUCAACACACAUAAAUCCAAGAAGAAAAAGGGAAAAAGAAACCUGGAACUAGAACUCUAUUAUAUGGGUUGGAUGGCAUCUAAUUCUAAACCGGCCAAAAAGAGAGAUUCAUAGGAGAAAACAGGACCAACCCAUUUGCUAAUAUUAAGCAGAAAAUUAGGAGUGGGGUAGCCACUGAAGACUAAAACAUUGAAAAACAAAAGGGAGAAGAAAAAGUGGGUGUGUAGGUGUGUGGGUCUUUUGUGCGUAUGUGUGAGAGAGGUUUAGGGGUUUUAGGCGAAGAUUAGUAUUAUAGAUUAAUUCAUGGUAUCUGCGUGUGGA
rnacentral:lncRNA from 1 species